AUACGUAGGUGACAAGCGUUAUCCGGAUUUACUGGGCGUAAAGGGCGUGUAGGCGGUCUUGCAAGUCAGAAGUGAAAUUCCUGAGCUCAACUCGGGCGCUGCUUCUGAAACUGCAGGACUUGAGUGCUGGAGGGGAUAGCGGAAUUCCUAGUGGAGCGGUAAAAUGCGCAGAUAUUAGGAAGAACACCAGUGGCGAAGGCGGGUAACUGGACUGCAACUGACGCUGAGGCGCGAAAGUGUGGGGAGCAAACAGGAUUAGAUACCCUGGUAGUCCACACUGUAAACGAUGAAUGCUAGGUGUAAGAGGUAUCGACCCCUUUUGUGCCGGAGUCAACACAAUAAGCAUUCCGCCUGGGGAGUACGGCCGCAAGGUUGAAACUCAAAGGAAUUGACGGGG
rnacentral:rRNA from 1 species